rnacentral:lncRNA from 1 species
UACAGCGGGUGAGUCAUACAGCAGGGGAGUGAUGUGUUUGCUGCCCUUCCAGGCACUUGCCCCUGCUCUCCCCCCCCCCAUCCUGUACCCAGCGCCCAUCACCGGGUCUCCCAGACUCUACCCACCUAGAAGGACUGACAGAUGAGAAGGACACCCCACCAUUCUUGAUCUCCAAGGUCCCCAGCCACCUCCUCCUCAGGACCUCAGCCAGUGAGAACUGGAUCCUAAAGCUCUUCUGUCUGCUCUCUGGAUGCUGCUGUGGUUUCUCUCCCAGAAGCACCUUUCUGAGCCCUCUGCAGCUCAUCCAUGCGGCCGCUGGGGGCUUUGAAGCAGAGAGCAAGCCUCAAAGGUGGAUCACAUUAAUACUCCCUUUGGAAGAGGUUUCCACGUGCACUGCGGUUUCAGAAGAUAAGGCCCCACAAGCACACGUGGUGAAUCAGCCCCUCUGCUCUGGCCCGAGUGGAAUUCAACCAAGUGGGAACCCACAGAAUUUCCCACGGCCUUCUGGGACCUGGAAGAGCCCAAGGGCGUCACCCGUGGGUGUCAGGGACCCAGGAACCGCCACCACAGGCUGUCAUUUCCUUCGUCCUCUGGCUCAGUCCUGCUGAAACUAUAUAAGGCCCCUGGAAGGGCUGGCAGGUGGGGAGGGGGAGGGUGACCUGCGAGGGGGCCACUGUGUGACCCCUGGAGUGGCUGGGCCAGGCUCAGACAGUGUGGCCUCAUGGGCAAGAGCAGGGGUCUUUUUUUUUUUUAGGGCCACACCCACAGCAUUUGGAAGUUCCCAGGCUAGAGGUCAAAUCGGAGCUGCAGACACCAGCCUACACCACAGCCAUGGCAACAGCGCAUCUGAGCUGCAUCUGUGAACUACGCCACAGUUUGUGGCAAUGCUUAACCCACCGAUCAGGGCCAGGGAUCGAACCCACAUCCUCAUGGAUACUCGUCCGGUUCUUAACCCACUGAGUCACAAUGGAAACUCCAAGAGCAGGGGUCUUUGAAGACAGAGAGACUUGGAGCAAAUCUCAGCUCUGUGCUUCCUACUCUGGGACCUCAGGCUUCUUUCUCUGGAACUUGACUUUGCCGGGCAAUCAAUAGACAGGAGCAGCCAGCAGUAGGACUAGAGUCUGCAGGGGACCCCUCCCUGACCUCAGCCCCCCUCAGCCUUCCUCUCAGUAAACUGGCAAGCAAGGCAAUUCUCCUGCCUCUCAGCACCAGCCAGGCUGGGACACUGUGUGACAUAGGACAUUAAGCAAUCCUUCAGGUCAAAGAAUCCCCACAUAACAAAUUCAUUCUGUACAAUAAAGAACUUGGCUGCACCCCUGCUUGGGCGUUUGAGAUCCAAAUUGCUGCCUUGGCACUUCAGAGGCAGAGAAAGGAGAAAUGAGCCUGGGGCUCUGGGAACAGCCCUUUAAACCUGUUUGAAAAUUCAGAUCCAUCUGGCCGCCCCUCACCUGCCCUCCAGGUUAGAAAGAAGGGAAGGGACUCUGGGGGCUGCCUGCUGGGCACGCGAAACAGUGAGCCAGGAAGGGCAGGGAUGGGGAAAGGGGUGUGAUGGGGACACAGACAUGCUGGGGCCUCCCAAGCGAUGCCCCCUCUCCUGACCCCGGGAAGCUCUGGGGGCCGUAGGAGGGAAGAGCUCUCUUAUCCGUAUUAGAAUGAGCAGACCUGAAACUCACAGACACAGACCAAUGACCAGCCCGCACCCCUGCCGUUCGUACAGGGCCAGCUCUGCCUGACUUCCUGCUGCAUCGGCUUUGUAUGGACCCUUUCUUCCUCCCCAGGUUGGCCUUUGAUGCCUGCUCACUUGUUCAUUUAUUUAUGCAGCCCCCUUACACCAAGCAUCUCCUGGUUGCCAGUGAACAGGGAGGGAAGGCAGAGCUGAUUAAUGAAAUUCAAGUUCUAAACUCCAGCCAGAGCUCACGGAGCCAAUCCGCUGAAUCCCCUCAGAUGUAUUUAAAAAUGGAGUAUCACCAGGGUGCCAAAGAAGGUGACAAAAAUUGCCCAAGAGAGACAGGGAAGGCACAUCUGAGCUGGGUCUUGAUGGCUAAGUAGGAGUUCACCUCAGGAGGUAAAAGAAGAGGUAGAGGAGGGGGAGCAGACAGGGCAUUCUAAGCAGAGGAAGCAGCAUGUUCAGCGUGGAGGUGGGAAAGGCAGGGUGUUUGGGGGAAAAUAGCAAAAGACAGGAAUGGAUUUCACUUCCUUUGCAUAGAGAGGUACAAGGGGGUGUCUCCCAUCGGCUCCACACGCCAGGUGAGCUCUCCCCCAGGUGAGAGCUUCCUGGCCCUGCCCACCCAUCUCCCUCCUCACCUGUAUCAGUUAUCCACUGCUGGGUAACAAAUGACCCCCAAACAUAGCGGCUUAAAACAAUAAUAAACCUUGACAUCUAUGAUCUCUCCCAGUUUCCAUGGGUCAGGAAUCUGGGAGGAGGCUCGCUGUGGGUCUCUCAUGAGGUUGAGGUCAAGGUGUCAGCCAGGGCUGUGGGCACCUGAAGGCUGGAGCAGGGCUGGGGGCCCUACUCCCAAGACGAUUCCCUCCCAUGGGACUGGCUGUUGGCAGGAGGCCUCAGUUUGUCCCCACAUGGGCCUCCCCCCAUGGUGGUGGCUUCCCCAUGAGUGAGAACAAGGUAGGGAGUUCCCAUCGUGGCUCAGCAGGUUAUGAACCCAUCCUCAUAUCCGUGAGGAUAUGGGUUCGAUCCCUGGCCUUACUCAGUGGGUUAAGGAUCCGGCAUUGCAGGGAGCUGUGGUGUAGGUCACAGACGUAGCUCAGAUCUGGCAUGGCUGUGGCUGUGGUGUAGGCCAGCAGCUAUAGCUCCAAUUCGACCCCUAGCCUGGGA